GCAAAUUGGAGUGGGUCUUCACUGAAAAUGUCAGUGAAGACACUUGCCAGUUGGUCAGCGCAUGCUCGGAAUACACCUCCCGGUAAUCCGUCUGCUCACCAUGCGCGACUCAACAAAUUACAGCUACCACCUGCAGGCAGUCCAAGAAAACCCAGAAAAUGCCAGAGUCUAUGGUGUUAGAAGUCCGUGCCACGUCUCUGAGAUGACAUAUGCACCUUUACCCUUUAUGUAUUUAUUCCCCUCGAUGUGAUGCAUGACUUCCUUGAGGGCAUCAUACCUGGAUGGUGUUACACAAGCUUGUGAAGACGAAACAAAUCACUGUGGCUCCGCUAAAUGACGAGAUUGAUGACUUCCCGAAUGGCAACUACGACAGAUCAUCUAGACAAAUACCACUAUCUGAGCGCGUCCUGAGGAAUAAUGGACAUCUGGUUGGGAGUGCAUCUGAGAAAUGCUAAUGAUUGGGUGGCAAAUAGCCAGCUGUGAUGCAUGGGAAGUGUGCCUGUUACUGAGAUAACUUGGGGACAUAAUAAUGGCACCUACUAUCAAAAGGUCUUGGGCACCAUACCUGGAAGAGAAAAUAAUGGAAUUUCAUGCUUUUUCAAUUUCAUGCUUUUCCCAAACAAGCAAACACCCAAGAUGCAGUUUCCGAACCAUUACUACCGACUGCUGAUGGCAUAAGGACCACUUAUCCAUCUGUCGUGUAUGUGCUUUGAAGCCAAACAUCAGCACUUCAAGAGAAUUGCACAUGUCAUCUGUGACUACAAACACAUUGCAAAGACACAUGCCAAAAGACACCAGAUGAGACAAUGCUGGGAGCAGUCAAAGAACACAUGCUUAGGAAUCACAGUACCACUCCAAAAAGACCAACCCACCACAAUUUGCUACAAGCCAACAACCAACCAAUAACCAGCAUCCACCAACCAACACAAAACUGUGGCCCACAAUAUGCACCCUUCCUGAGUUCCUCACAGCCCUACAGUGUAAACUCAACCAACAGAGAGAAGAGUUCCAACUUUCCCACUAAUUGGUCCAAGUGGAGGAGACUAAUCAUCCAGGUUUUAGUUGAUAUCACGUGCACAUAUACCUGGUAAGUUUAUACAUUUGGUACAUCAUGUGAGUGUGUGUGUGUUUACAUAUUACUGCACUGUUGGAGCUAGAAACACAAACAUUUCACUACACCCGCAAUGACAUCUGCUAAAUAUGUGUAUGUGACCAAUACGAUUUGAUUUGUGUGUAGUCAUAGGAUGUGUUAUACUGUAAUGGAACACCACAUUGAUCUACCCUUUUCAAAGGUACCCUACAAGCAGACUAUAUAGUGACAUCAUUGGUGGCCAAGUACCCAUUUCUAAGGGACUGUACAGGACAAGGAUAUAUCUUCCAUGGAAUGGAUAUAGAUAAAAAGAUCAUUCAAGGACUCUGCAAGGCUAGUGGCAAAAUAAUAGCAGAGGCAGAGAGGCGAGGCAUGGGCGAGGACCUGCUAUUUCGACAGGUCCUGAAGGACAAUACAGAAGAGGCGCACGGGACUCGAGACCCCAGCAGCGAUCCUGCUCUUGCCCUAACGCUUCAAUGAGGACCCGAGUGCCCUUUAUGUCCGUGACAAGGUAUGUCUCUGCACAAAUAAUCUGUUUCUUCAUAAACAUAAGUGUGCAUGCUUAUAUAAAAUUACAGCUGAACAUUUGUGAUGUUCUUAAGUUGCGGUGUUCUGGGUAUAAGAGAAGUUGGGGUAAAGUUACUAGGGCCGGACAUAAAGAUGGCAAACUUCCUAACAUAAAUAAAUGGUUGUUGGGCAAGUGGUUGUUGGACACACACACACACACACGUGCGCACACACACACACACACACACACACACUAAAGCAAAAAAAAUCAAAUUUGUAUUUAGCAUCAAGUUUACAAUUUUGUUAGUUUACCUUAAUUAUUUUUUAAUGUAUGUUGUUUUUAUUGUAUUUUAUAUUUUCACCAUGAGAGUGAAAAGCACUAUACAAAGUAAAUGUAUUAUUUAUUAUGUUCUGACAUGUCUGCAUAGAUGUUCCAAUGUUUUUUAUGUGUUUUGUUUGGUAAAUUGUUGUGUAAUUGUUCAUUCACAUUUGUGGUUGUCACACC